CCUACGGGGUGCAGCAGUGAGGAAUAUUGGUCAAUGGACGAGAGUCUGAACCAGCCAAGUAGCGUGAAGGAUGACUGCCCUAUGGGUUGUAAACUUCUUUUAUAAGGGAAUAAAGUGAGGCACGUGUGCCUUUUUGUCUGUAUUUUAUGAAUAAGGAUCGGCUAACUCCGUGCCAGCAGCCGCGGUAAUACGGAGGUUCCGAGCGUUAUCCGGAUUUAUUGGGUUUAAAGGGAGCGUAGGUGGAUUGUUAAGUCAGUUGUGAAAGUUUGCGGCUCAACCGUAACAUUGCAGUUGAAACUGGCAGGCUUGAGUACAGGAGAGGUGGGCGGAAUUCGUGGUGUAGCGGUGAAAUGCUUAGAUAUCACGAAGAACUCCGAUUGCGAAGGCAGCUCACUGGACUGCAACUGACACUGAGGCUCGAAAGUGUGGGUAUCAAACAGGAUUAGAUACCCUUGUAGUC
rnacentral:rRNA from 1 species